rnacentral:rRNA from 1 species
GAUGAACGCUGGCGGCGUGCCUAAUACAUGCAAGUCGAGCGAACAGACGAGGAGCUUGCUCCUCUGACGUUAGCGGCGGACGGGUGAGUAACACGUGGAUAACCUACCUAUAAGACUGGGAUAACUUCGGGAAACCGGAGCUAAUACCGGAUAAUAUAUUGAACCGCAUGGUUCAAUAGUGAAAGACGGUUUUGCUGUCACUUAUAGUUGGAUCCGCGCCGCAUUAGCUAGUUGGUAAGGUAACGGCUUACCAAGGCAACGAUGCGUAGCCGACCUGAGAGGGUGAUCGGCCACACUGGAACUGAGACACGGUCCAGACUCCUACGGGAGGCAGCAGUAGGGAAUCUUCCGCAAUGGGCGAAAGCCUGACGGAGCAACGCCGCGUGAGUGAUGAAGGUCUUCGGAUCGUAAAACUCUGUUAGUAGGGAAGAACAAAUGUGUAAGUAACUAUGCACGUCUUGACGGUACCUAAUCAGAAAGCCACGGCUAACUACGUG